GGUUCAAUGGUCUAAUGGUUAUGAUUUCUGUCUCACAUGCGAGUCUGCGACACGGCCCAAUGCCCAAUACAGCACAUGUACUCGUCGUGCACAGAAGGUUCCCAGUUCGAUCCUGGGUUGAACCA